UACGAAGGGGGCUAGCGUUGUUCGGAAUCACUGGGCGUAAAGGGCGCGUAGGCGGCCGGUCACGUCUGGGGUGAAAGCCUGUGGCUCAACCACAGAAUUGCCUUCGAUACUGUUUGGCUUGAGACCGGAAGAGGUUAGUGGAACUGCGAGUGUAGAGGUGAAAUUCGUAGAUAUUCGCAAGAACACCAGUGGCGAAGGCGGCCAACUGGUCCGGUACUGACGCUGAGGUGCGAAAGCGUGGGGAGCAAACAGG
rnacentral:rRNA from 1 species